UAUCUUGAUGCAAUAACAUUAUACUAUUACAUUUGCGUUAUACUUGUCAUAUAUUUUUUAAGGACUUUCAAAGAUAGUUAUGCUGUUGGAUUGUUAAAAGAUGACUGCAAGGAUGGCAUUUACAACAUAUUGAACGACAUUAUAUUUCAUACAGAUUUUGAUCCGAGCAUCGUUGAUCACCUUAUUUCUAGUUGCGUUUUGACCAUUGAUGAUGGAGAAAAUAUUAUGCAAGCCAAUUCGAGAAUUGAAAAGAAUAGUAUACUUUAUGACAUAUUAUUUGAAAGACCAUAUAAUUCAUUAGCGCCACUUCAGCAAGCAUCAAUAGACGUCAAAAACAUAGAAAUACAGUUGAUAUUGGAGAAAAACGGCUUUGUAGAACAGGAAAUAAACUUGCCACCUGUCAAACACUCAGAUGAUAUCAAGGAUGAUUCUGUUCGUUUGCAAAAAUGUUACAAAAUUAUAAAUGACAAUCUUGAUAGUAAAGAACCCAUCGAUAAGCUUGUAGAGUUUGAUGUUUUGAGUCUUGAACACAUGGAGGAACUAAAAGCCUGUCGUUCACCACGAGAAACAAAUAGGAAACUUUUACGUACACUUAUGUUCAAAUUUAAAGACGGAUACCAGAAUUUUCUUAAUUCGCUAAAGGAUGACUGUGUUCAUGAAGAUCUGGCUGAAAAAAUCAUGCAAACGGAAGUAACAGAAAAGGAUAGACAUCUAUCAAAAAUAGGUAAUUGUGUGAUGUUUGAAAUAACAUUUUUGAAUUUAAAAUGCUGAACAUUUUUUUCCAUUUGCUUUGCUCUUUUUUGUAUUGUUGCAAAUGUCAAUAAAACAGACAGGUUUGUGGUAAAGGAAUUGCAUAUAAUGUAAUUGAAUUAUAAAAGAACACGUUGCAAAUAUCUAAGUAGAACAUACUGCAUGACUAUUAUUGUUACUUCAUCUAUUUCAAAAUAUCAAUGUCCAUCAAUAUUUCCAAAAACUAUUCAGUCGUCAUCAGCAUCGUUUCUGUAAACGUCGUUUAUUGUACUAAGUACAAAACACUUCAUCGUUAUAUAUCUAAACGUUUGAAAUUCUUAAAUUUGUAAAGAGCAAGCGAGCAAAAACAUUACAAUUGAUAUAGUUAAAGACCUCUACAGACAUAUAACAGGAUAGCAUUUGCUGGAAUAGGAAAUAUUUGACAACUAAAAUGUUUAUUUACAAACUGUGAACAAUAAACAGGUUUAUUCCGAAACUAUGGAAUGUAUAACGACUGUGUUUUGUUUAAAAUUAUUUGACUAUGUGUUUUACAUUUGUGGAUUGCUUUUUCAUUGAUUGGUA